GACGAACGCUGGCGGCGUGCCUAAUACAUGCAAGUUGAGCGCUGAAGGUUGGUACUUGUACCAACUGGAUGAGCAGCGAACGGGUGAGUAACGCGUGGGGAAUCUGCCUUUGAGCGGGGGACAACAUUUGGAACCGAAUGCUAAUACCGCAUAAAAACUUUAAACACAAGUUUUAAGUUUGAAAGAUGCAAUUGCAUCACUCAAAGAUGAUCCCGCGUUGUAUUAGCUAGUUGGUGAGGUAAAGGCUCACCAAGGCGAUGAUACAUAGCCGACCUGAGAGGGUGAUCGGCCACAUUGGGACUGAGACACGGCCCAAACUCCUACGGGAGGCAGCAGUAGGGAAUCUUCGGCAAUGGACGAAAGUCUGACCGAGCAACGCCGCGUGAGUGAAGAAGGGUUUCGGAUCGUAAAACUCGGUUGGUAGAGAAGAACGUUGGUGAGAGUGGAAAGCUCAUCAAGUGACGGUAACUACCCAGAAAGGGACGGCUAACUACGUG
rnacentral:rRNA from 1 species